UCGGGAAUUUUGGGCAAUGGGCGAAAGCCUGACCCAGCAACGCCGCGUGAAGGAUGAAGUAUUUCGGUAUGUAAACUUCGAAAGAAUAGGAAGAAUAAAUGACGGUACUAUUUAUAAGGUCCGGCUAACUACGUGCCAGCAGCCGCGGUAAUACGUAGGGACCAAGCGUUGUUCGGAUUUACUGGGCGUAAAGCGUGCGCAGGCGGUCUUGCAAGACAGAUGUGAAAUCCCCGGGCUUAACCUGGGAACUGCAUUUGUGACUGCAAGGCUGGAGUACGGCAGAGGGGGAUGGAAUUCCGCGUGUAGCAGUGAAAUGCGUAGAUAUGCGGAGGAACACCGAUGGCGAAGGCAAUCCCCUGGGCCUGUACUGACGCUCAUGCACGAAAGCGUGGGGAGCAAACAGGAUUAGAUACCCACGUAGUCCCUGAGCGGGCUGGCAAGGCGCAU
rnacentral:rRNA from 1 species